GGCGCACGGGUGCGUAACACGUAUGCAACUUACCCUUUACUGGGACAUAGCUCAGAGAAAUCUGAAUUAAUUCCCCAUAACGCUAUUGAGUCGCAUGACUUGAUAGCUAAAGUUCCGGCGGUAAAGGAUAGGCAUGCGCUGUAUUAGCUAGUUGGUGAGGUAAUGGCUCACCAAGGCUACGAUACAUAGGGGUUCUGAGAGGAUGAUCCCCCACACUGGUACUGAGACACGGACCAGACUCCUACGGGAGGCAGCAGUAGGGAAUAUUGGUCAAUGGACGCAAGUCUGAACCAGCCAUGCCGCGUGCAGGAUGACGGCCCUUGGGUUGUAAACUGCUUUUAUAUGGGAAGAAACCCCGGGAUGCGUUCCGGGCUGACGGUACCAUACGAAUAAGGAUCGGCUAACUUCGUGCCAGCAGCCGCGGUAAGACGAAGGAUCCAAGCGUUGUCCGGAUUUACUGGGUUUAAAGGGUGCGUAGGCGGAUGCUUAAGCCAGUAGUGAAAUCUCUCAGCUCAACUGAGAAACUGCCAUUGGAACUGGGUAUCUUGAAUUCGAUUGAGGUAGAUGGAAUAUAACAUGUAGCGGUGAAAUGCUUAGAUAUGUUAUGGAACACCGAUUGCGAAGGCAGUCUACUAAGUCGACAUUGACGCUGAGGCACGAAAGCGUGGGUAGCGAACAGGAUUAGAUACCCUGGUAGUCCACGCCCUAAACGUUGAUUACUCGCUGUUGGCGAUACACUGUCAGCGGCUAAGCGAAAGCGUUAAGUAAUCCACCUGGGAAGUACGACCGCAAGGUUGAAACUCAAAGGAAUUGACGGGGCCGCACAGCGAG
rnacentral:rRNA from 1 species